rnacentral:lncRNA from 12 species
GGUCACAUUACUCUCCCACUGUGUUAUCCUUCCCCUUGUCUUUUUCUCUCUUUCCUUAUUUAAAGGAGACUUUUGCCUUUUCCAGAAUGUCACACCAUCAAAUAAUGCACAAAGCUAAGGAAGAGUCUUGCUUCUUCAUUUUGAGGAAUCAAUGAGAUUUUAAGUUGAAGUCCAAGAUAAGUACGUACUAUUCCACUUCUAUGAUUUCCUAAGAAGCUUAUCAAAAU